rnacentral:rRNA from 1 species
UACGUAGGCGGAAAAUUAAGUCAGUAGUGAAAUCCUGCAGCUCAACUGUAGAACUGUUAUUGAUACUGGUUUUCUUGAAUGUAGUUGAGGUAGGCGGAAUGUGUAAUGUAGCGGUGAAAUGCUUAGAUAUUACACAGAACACCGAUUGCGAAGGCAGCUUACUAAACUAUGAUUGACGCUGAGGUACGAAAGCGUGGGGAGCGAACAGGAUUAGAUACCCUGGUAGUCC